rnacentral:rRNA from 1 species
AGGGUGCAAACGUUGUUCGGAUUUACUGGGCGUAAAGCGCGUGUAGGCGGCUUGGCAAGUCGGAUGUGAAAGCCCACGGCUCAACCGUGGAAGCGCAUCCGAAACUGCUUCGCUCGAGUCUCGGAGAGGAAGGUGGAAUGCUUGGUGUAGAGGUGAAAUUCGUAGAUAUCAAGCAGAACACCUGCGGCGAAGGCGGCCUUCUGGACGAUGACUGACGCUGAGACGCGAAAGCGUGGGGAGCAAACAGG